rnacentral:rRNA from 1 species
CGGACGGGUGAGUAACACGUGAGCAACCUGCCUUUCAGAGGGGGAUAACGGCUGGAAACGGUCGCUAAUACCGCAUGACGUGUUCGGAUGGCAUCAUCUGAACAUCAAAGAUUUAUCGCUGAAAGAUGGGCUCGCGUCUGAUUAGAUAGUUGGUGGGGUAACGGCCUACCAAGUCUACGAUCAGUAGCCGGACUGAGAGGUUGAACGGCCACAUUGGGACUGAGAUACGGCCCAGACUCCUACGGGAGGCAGCAGUGGGGAAUAUUGCACAAUGGGGGAAACCCUGAUGCAGCAACGCCGCGUGAAGGAUGACGGUUUUCGGAUUGUAAACUUCUUUUCUUAGUGACGAAGACAGUGACGGUAGCUAAGGAAUAAGCAUCGGCUAACUACGUGCCAGCAGCCGCGGUAAUACGUAGGAUGCAAGCGUUAUCCGGAUUUACUGGGUGUAAAGGGAGCGCAGGCGGGACUGCAAGUUGGAUGUGAAAUACCGUGGCUUAACCACGGAACUGCAUCCAAAACUGUAGUUCUUGAGUGAAGUAGAGGCAAGCGGAAUUCCGAGUGUAGCGGUGAAAUGCGUAGAUAUUCGGAGGAACACCAGUGGCGAAGGCGGCUUGCUGGGCUUUAACUGACGCUGAGG